rnacentral:rRNA from 1 species
CUUAAUUUGACUCAACGCGGGAAAACUUACCAGGUCCAGACACAGUAAGGAUUGACAGAUUGAAGAUCUUUCUUGAUUCUGUGGGUGGUGGUGCAUGGCCGUUCUUAGUUGGUGGAGUGAUUUGUCUGGUUAAUUCCGUUAACGAACGAGACCUCGACCUGCUAAAUAGUUCGACAAAGGAUUCGUCCUUUGUGUGUGACUUCUUAGAGGGACUAUCGGUGUGUAGCCGACGGAAGUUCGAGGCAAUAA